rnacentral:rRNA from 1 species
AAUAUUGGACAAUGGGCGAAAGCCUGAUCCAGCCAUGCCGCGUGUGUGAAGAAGGUCUUCGGAUUGUAAAGCACUUUAAGUUGGGAGGAAGGGUUGUAGAUUAAUACUCUGCAAUUUUGACGUUACCAACAGAAUAAGCACCGGCUAACUUCGUGCCAGCAGCCGCGGUAAUACGAAGGGUGCAAGCGUUAAUCGGAAUUACUGGGCGUAAAGCGGGCGUGGUUGUUUUGCAAAUUGGGAAUUGAGGGCCCGGGCCUCAACCUGGAACUGCCUUCAAAACUUGGAAAGUUGAGUAAUGGAGGGGGGUGUUGGAAUUUCUUGGGAGGCGUUGAAAGCCGUAGAAUAAGGAGGAACAAUAGUUGGGGAGGCCACCCCCCUGGCCAAAUCCUACCACGGGGGGCCAAAGCGGUGGGAGCAAAC